CUGUUGAUUUAAGCAGAGUCUGUCGUGGCCAGCGGAAGGAUGAGUAAUACGUGCUACAUACUCUAUAUUGCUUUAUUUACAGUUCAAAGCUGGUAUAUUACAGAAAGACAUCUUGCCUCUGCCUGAGCAGAGAAAUGCAUCCUCUCUCCUCUCUCAGCUCGGAGAGAAUCACAGAGUGAAAAACAGGAAACCAGUGUACGUCACAUCCAGUCUCCCUUUCCCGUGAGAAACUCCAACAGUACAGACAGUACAGACUGUGGAAUGUAAACACCUGUCUCGUGACAUGCAAAGCUGCACAGUGAAGGAAAGCAGAAACUAACAUCCUCCCCCUUUCUGUGAACAUCACUGGGCAGCGUGUUCGUACAGUAUCAGUACAAACCCAACUUCUGCACAUAGGUACAGUGUUGAUCCCUUGAUACAAUCUUGGACAAUACAUCAGCAGGAAUUUCAUUACCUGGCAUAUAGGACACCGUUACGAGUCCCUUCUGAAUACAUUCCCUAGCAUGCUGCAACUUUAAUUGCAAGUGCUUUGUGCUUUGCUUACAACCUUCAGACUUCAGCAAAGCCAAACAUGCUUUGUUGUCCUGGUAAACCUGGAUUGGACAUUUGACAGGAAUUUUCAUAUCUUUGCACAAUUGUACUAACCAUUCACAAUCCUUAAGUGAAUAAGACAGUGCAUUCAGUUCAGCUUCACAAGUACUUAAGCUAACUGUUGUUUGCUUCUUGCAUGACCAAUCAAACAGACUCUGAUUGUACAUGUAGCAAACUCCAGACGUACUUUUCCUGUCUGUAGCGUCACUACCAAAACUUGCAUCUGCAAAUAUCUCAAGACCACCAGACUUCUGAUUGUUAAAUCUCAGUCUGUAAUGCAUAGUGCCUUUCAAAUAUCGCGCUAUGCGUUUCAGAGCUUUCCAAUCCUUGACACUAGGAUUGUUGACUUGUCUGCUUAGCAAAUUACAGCUAACAGCAAUGUCUGGUCUUGAACAUCUGGCAAUGAAGUUUAGCUUGCCUAGCACACUCCUGUACAGUGUAGUGUCAGAAAAUGCUUCUUCAGUGUCAUCUACCUGAUAACCUGUUGUCAUCGGUGUGUCUACAGGGUUAGCAUCCAUCAGAUUUAGUUUGCUUAACACAUCAGCAAUUUUCCGUGACUGGUGUACUAGAAUGUUACCAUCUUGAUCUCUCUCUAUUUCCAGAGAUAGGUAGUUGUUUACCUCACCAAGAUCUUUCAUGUCAAAGUGCUCUUUCAGUUGAGCUAGGGCGCUAUUGUACAUUGCGACAUCUUUCC
rnacentral:lncRNA from 1 species